AAACCAGAUGCUCAACAGGGCGUAGCUUUAUACGACCGCAGAGUUCAAACCCUGAACAGUUGGGGCAAGUAUGGACACAACAUUCAAGCUUGAUACAGCUCUGAAUUUGAAUUGUGAUUAAAUAGUUGACACAACAUAGGUUUCUGACACAGAAUGAAUGUGGUCUAAGAACUUAAACUUAAAAAUUUUAAAUUGGACAUUUACCUAUUAUGGUCCAAUAUCAAAAAUCUAAAUACAUGGUUAGAUUCAGCAUAUCAAAGAACCCCAAGAAUUCAAUUUUUGAUGAAAUCAAAUAAAGUUCAAUUUUGGACCUUUAAGACCUCAAUGUGGACCAAUUUAUUAACCGGGCCCAAAUAUCAAAAAUCUAAAUACAUGGUUAGAUUCAGCAUAUAUAAAAUAAAACUUAUAUUCAAUUUUUGUUGAAACCAAACAAAGUUUAAUUUUGGACCCCGAUUUGGACCAACUUGAAAACUGGGCCUAUAAUCAAAAAUCUAAAUACAUGUUUAGAUUUAGCAUAUCAAAGAACCCCAAGGAUUCAAUUUUUGUUAAUAUCAAACAAAGUUUAAUUUUGGACCACGAUUUAGACCAACUUGAAAACUGGC
rnacentral:lncRNA from 1 species